rnacentral:rRNA from 1 species
CCUACGGGAGGCUGCAGUGAGGAAUAUUGGUCAAUGGCCGAGAGGCUGAACCAGCCAAGUCGCGUGAGGGAAGACGGCCCUACGGGUUGUAAACCUCUUUUGUCGGGGAGCAACGCGAACCACGUGUGGUUCAUUGAGAGUACCCGAAGAAAAAGCAUCGGCUAACUCCGUCCCAGCAGCCGCGGUAAUACGGAGGAUGCGAGCGUUAUCCGGAUUUAUUGGGUUUAAAGGGUGCGCAGGCGGAGGAGCAAGUCAGCGGUAAAGUUGGGGGGCUCAACCCCGUACUGCCGUUGAAACUGCAUCCCUUGAGUGCGCGAGAGGUAUGCGGAAUGCGUGGUGUAGCGGUGAAAUGCAUAGAUAUCACGCAGAACUCCGAUUGCGAAGGCAGCAUACCGGCGCGCAACUGACGCUCAUGCACGAAAGCGUGGGUAUUGAACAGGAUUAGAUACCCCAGUAGUC